GAUGCUCCGAAAAGAACGGCAUUACGCCGUGCGCCGAAGGUGCAACUCUUUAUCGCCCACAGGCUUAAAGGGGAAUCUCUCAGGCUACACUACGGAGGCAC
rnacentral:ncRNA from 1 species